GAGCUGAGGUCUCGGUGCUCAGCCCCCACCCAAGCAUCUCGGUUUUUGGUGACUGUAGUUCAGAUAAUAUCUUCAGUUCUCACUCUGCUCUUCAGAUCUCAGACUUACUGUUGCACUCUUCUCUGCAUCUGGAGAUUCCUCCGAUUCAGUUGACCUUUCUGUCAAUUAGGUGACAUUACAGGGUGUGGGAUCCCUUUCUCCUCAACACUUCCCUUUUAGGAGCGCCUGUCCAGCCCCAAUUCCCCUUGUCUCACUCUCCUCUUUUCUCUUGUUCUACCCAGUUAUGUCACGAGAUUCUUGCCAUUAUUGGGGUUUAGGUUCUUCUGCCAGCGAUUAUUGCUGCUCUGUGCGAGUCAUUUAACCUGUAGAUGUGGUUUUUUAUUGUUGUGUUUGUGGGAGAGGGGGAGUGUGUCCCCCUACUCUUCCACCAUCUUGCUUCUCGUUACAUUCAUCUUUUCUAUUUCAUCUUGGUUUAGUGUUCGAAGAUUGUACUUUUCUAAGAAUUUGUCCCUUUCUUCUAGGUUAUCCGUUUUAUUGGCAUAUAGUUGCAUAUAGUAGUCUCUUAUGAUCCUUUGUAUUUCUGUGAUGUCCAUUGUUACUUCUCCUUUUUCAUUUCUAAUUUUAUUGAUUUGAGUCCUCUCUCUUUUUUGCUUGAUAAGUCUAGCUAAGGGCUUAUCAAUUUUGUUGAUCUUUGCAAAGAACCAGCUUUUCAUUUCAUUGAUAUUUUCUAUGGUUUUCUUUGUUUCUAUUUCAUUGAUUUCUGCUCUGAUCUUUAUGAUUCCUUUCCUUCUAACUUUAGGUCUUGUCUGUUCUUCUCUCUCGAGCUGCUUUAGAUGUAAAGUUAGCUUGUUUAUUUGAGCUUUUUCUUGUUUCCUGAGGUGGGCUUGUAUUGCUAUAAACUUUCUUCUUAGAACAGCUUUUGCUGCAUCCCAUAGGUUUUGGAGUGUCCUAUCUUCCUUGUCAUUUGCUUCUAGGUAUUUUUUAAUUUCCUCUUUGAUUUCUUCAGUGAUCCAUUGGUUGGUUAAUAGCAUGAUGUUGAGUCUCCACGUGUUUGUGUUUUUUGCAGAUUUUUUUCUUGUUGAUGUCCAAGUGUAUAGUGUUGUGGUUGUUAAAGAUGCUUGAUAUGAUUUCAGUUUUCUUAAAGUUACCGAGGUUGGAUUUAUAGCCCAGGAUGUGAUCAAUCUGAGAGAAUGUUCCAUGUGCACUUGAGAAGAAUGUGUAUUCCAUUGCUUUUGGAUGGAAUGUCCUAUAAAUACCUCUUAAGUCCAUCUGAUUUAAUGCAUCAUUCAGGGCCCGAGUUUCCUUAUUGAUUUUCUGUCUGGUUGAUCUGUCCAUUGCUGUAAGUGGAAUGCUAAAGUCCCCCACUAUGAUUGUGUUAUUGUCAAUUUGUCCUUUUAAGGUUGUUAGCAGUUGCCUUAUAUUUUGUGGUGAACCUAUGUUGGGUGCAUAGAUAUUUAAAAUUGUGAUAUCUUCUUCUCAGAUUGAUCCUUUGAUCAUUAGGUAGUGACCUUCUUUGUCCCUUAAAAUAUUCUUCAUUUGAAAGUCUAUUUUGUCUGAUAGGAGUAUUGCUACUCCAGCUUUCUUUUGAUCCCCAUUUGCAUGAAAUAGUUUCUUCCAUCCUCUCACUUUCAAUGUGUAUGUGUCCCUAGAAGUGAAGUGGGUCUCUUGAAGACAGCAUGUAUAUGGGUCUUGUUUUUGUAUCCAUUCAGCCAGCCUGAGUCUUUUGGUUGGGGCAUUUAGUCCAUUGAUAUUUAAGGUAAUUAUUGAUAUGUAUGUUCAUAUUGCCUCUUAUUAAUUGCUUUGGAUUUGUUUUUGUUGCUCUUUUUUCUUUCCUUCUUCUCUGGUUCUCUCCACUUCUGGUUUGAUGACUAUCUUUAGUGUUGUAUUUGAGUUGAUUUUUCUUUGUGUAUCAAUUGUAGAUUUUUGGUUUGCAGUUAUUCUGAAGUUUUGAUAUAAGAGUCUAUAUGCAUAUGAGAUUGUUUUAAGUUGUUGUUCUCUUAAUUGCAAGUUCAUCUCCAGUGUCCUGCAUUUGUACCCACCUCUUCUCAUGAUUUCUGAUUUUGGUGGUAUAAUUGUGCAUGGAUGAUUUUGUAUCUUUACUGUAUAUAUACCUCUAUUGGUGAGCCUUGUCAUUGGUGGAAUUUUUGUUUCCUGUUGCUGUCUUUUCUCUUCUGCCUAGAGAAGUUCCUUUAGUAUUUGUCAUAAGGCUGGUUUAGUUUUGCUGAAUUCUCUCAGCUUUUGCUUCUCUGUGAAGGUUUUGAUUUCUCCUUCAAAUCUGAAUGAGAGCCCCGCUGGGUAGCGUAAUCUUAGUUGGAGGUUUUUUCCUUUCAUUGCAUUAAGUAUAUCAUGCCACUCCCUUCUGGCCUGCAGAGUUUGUGCUGAAAAAUCUGCUGAUAACCUCAUCAGGGUUCCCUUGUAUGUUAUUUCUUUUCCCUAGCUGCUUUCAAGAUUUUCUCUGUCUUUAAUUUUGGUCAGUUUGAUUAAGAUGUGUCUUGGUGUAUUCCUCCUUGGAAUUAUUUUAUAUGGUACUUGUUGUGCUUCCUGGAUUUGAGUGAGUGGUUCCUUUCCUGUGUGAGGGAAGUUUUCAGCUAUUAUCUCUUGGAAUAUUUUUCCUGUCCCCUUCUCUCUCUCUCUUCUCCUUCUGGCACCCCUAUAAUAUGGAUGUUGGUGUGUUUAAUGUUGUCCCAGAGUUCUCUGAGACUCUCUUCAUUUGUUCUCAAUCUUUUUUUCUUUUCUGUUCUGCACCCGUAAUUUCUACUAAUCUGUCCUCUGCCUCGCUUAUUCGUUCUUCUGCCUCCUGUAUUCUGCUAUUGACUGCUUCUAGUGAAUUUUUUAUUUCAGUUAUUGUAUUUUGCAUCUCUUCUUGUUUAAGUUUUAUAUCUUGUUCUCUUUGGUCAGUGUUUGCUGUAAAUUAUCCAUUUUUGCCUCCAGUUUAUUUCCAUUGUCUUUCAUCACCUUCAGCAUCAACAGACUAAAGUCUUUUUCCUGGAGGCUGAGAAUCUCCUCAUCACUUAGCUGAUAUUCUGGGGUUUUUCCUUGUUCCCCCAUCUGUGUUAUAGUUCUCUGUCUUUUCAUUUUUAUAGGUUUUUGGUGUGGUGACCUUUUUACAGGUAAUAGAGUUGUAGCUUCUCUUACUUCUGGUGUCUGUCCCUCUUGUGGCUGAAAUCGGUAUGGGGGCUUGCUGUAGGCUUUCUGUUGGGAGGGGCUGAUGCCUGCCCACUGGUAGGUGGAGCUGAUUCUAAUCCCUCUGGGGGGUGGGGCUUAGUCUCUGGAUGGGAUUAGAGGCAGCUGUGUGCCUGAGGGGUCUUUAGGUAGCCUGUUUACUGAGGGGUGGGUCUGUGCUCCCACCUGGAUUGUUGUAUGCCCUGGGGCUUCUCAUUGCUGACUGAUGGGUGGGGCCAGAUUUUCCCCAAAUGGCCCCCUCCAGAGAAAGGCACCUUUGCUGAAUAUUCCCAAGAGCUUUUCUUUCAAUGCUUUGCCCUGGGACCCAGUGCAUGUGAAAGUCUGUGUGCACCUUUUAAGAAUGGGGUCUCUGUUUCCCCCGGUCCCAUGGAGCUCUUGCAUACAAGCCCCACUGGCCUUCAAUACCAGAUGCUCCAAGGGCUCUUUCUCCCAGUGCCAGAUCCCCACACGUGAGAGUUUGAUGUGGGACUCAGAUCUCUCACUCCUAUAGGUGAGUAUCUGUGAACCAGUUAGUUUCCAGUCUGUGGGGCUUCCCACCGAGGAGGUAUGGGGUUGUUUACAUCGUGAAAUCGCCCCUCCUACCUCUUGAUGUGGCCUCCUCUUUGUCUUCUGGAGUAGAGUAUCUUUUUUAAGGUUUCUGGUCUAUUUGGGUGAAGAAUGCUCAGCCUUUAGUUGUGAAUUUUGUUUUUAGGAGAGACGUUGAGCUCCAGUCCUUCUAUUCUGCCAUCUUAAUCCCAUCUCUGAGGUGUACUUUUUUGUAUCUUCCUCUACAAGUAGUUCCUGUACUCAGUUAUGGAUAUUUAAGUCUCUGUAAGUAGAGCACUGAAAACGCACAUCCUUUGAGAGAUAAACACUGGCAAUACAUGUGUUCUGAAGAGGCCCAGGUAAUGUGGUGGCUCAGUACAAGACCUAACUUUCUUGUAGUUCAGUAUUCAUUUUUAUCAUCUUUUUCUGCCAAGGCUUAACUAUUGCUGCUUAUAGAAUGGCUGGGUCUCCUUAAGGAACACACAAUACGGUAAUAAUCUCUUGUCCUUUAUUCUCCUUCCUGCCUCCCUAAUCCCUACCCUUUAUUUAGGGUCAUAACACAUCUUCCUUCAAUAAAAUCUUCCCUGAUAACUUUAACACACUUGCUCUCUCCCUAUUUGGCAUAUUAAAAGGUAUUGCCUAUGUAGGUGAUUUCACAGAAGAAUGAUUAAAAAUUCAUCUUUGCAGUAAGAUAUAUAUACCUUAGAACCCUAACUCUGACAGUUACUCAUCAUGUGACUUUGGACAAAUCAUUGACCCUCUGUAAGCCUCAAUUUCUUCAUCUUUGAAAGGAAGAUAAUGAUAACUACUUAAUGAGAUUGUUGUGAAAAUUUUAAAACUAAAUGCAGGUGAAGCAUUUAGAAGGGUGUCUUAAAAAUAUACAAACAUUGGAGUCCCAUCCUGGCUCAGUGGUUAAUGAAUCCGACUAGGAACCAUAAGGUUGCGGGUUCAGUCCCUGGCUUUGCUCAGUGGGUUAAUGAUCUGGCGUUGCCGUGAGCUAUGGUGUAGGUCGCAGACACGGCUCAGAUCCUGUGUUGCUGUGGCCCUGGUAUAGGCUGGUGGUACAGCUCCGAUUAGACCCCUAGCCUGGGAACCUCCAUAUGC
rnacentral:lncRNA from 1 species